rfam:Flavobacterium succinicans strain DD5b FLB_contig000024, whole genome shotgun sequence.
UUUUUGCGUUAGGGAUUGUAGUGGAAAUCCUUUUUUGAGGCUCUUUUUGCCUCAAAAAAGAUUGUAGCGAAAUGCCCGACCCUUG